rnacentral:rRNA from 1 species
CCUACGGGUGGCAGCAGUGGGGAAUAUUGGACAAUGGGCGAAAGCCUGAUCCAGUCAUGCCGCGUGUGUGAAGAAGGCCUUCGGGUUGUAAAGCACUUUCAGUGGGGAAGAAAGCCUUGGGGCUAAUACCCUCGAGGAAGGACAUCACCCACAGAAGAAGCACCGGCUAACUCCGUGCCAGCAGCCGCGGUAAUACGGAGGGUGCGAGCGUUAAUCGGAAUUACUGGGCGUAAAGCGCGCGUAGGCGGUCUGAUAAGCCGGUUGUGAAAGCCCCGGGCUCAACCUGGGAACGGCAUCCGGAACUGUCAGGCUAGAGUGCAGGAGAGGAAGGUAGAAUUCCCGGUGUAGCGGUGAAAUGCGUAGAGAUCGGGAGGAAUACCAGUGGCGAAGGCGGCCUUCUGGACUGACACUGACGCUGAGGUGCGAAAGCGUGGGUAGCAAACAGGAUUAGAUACCCGUGUAGUC